GGAAAAGGACAGCAUGAAGAAGUACACUGAUGCAGAUUUAGCAGUCAGUGACAUAGAAGUUACAGCUGAAACCAAGAGAAUGAGGGAGGAUUCACCCAAGAAGGAAUAUGAAGGAGAGAACAGAGGACUGAAAGUUGGGAAGCACCCACAUUUAGGGCACAGGACAAACAGAAUGAGCCAAUGCAAGAGGGAACACAUGGCCUGGGAUGUGGGCGAGACUUAGACAGUGUUGCCAGGGAACUGAGGCAGUAGAGUGGUUAAGGAGGAGGACGCUGUCACCAGCACUGGAAGAAGGUGAAGCAGCGAGAAGAUGAGGACCUUAGGGGAAGAGUUAAUAAUGAUCUGGGAUGGGAAACCAGAUGCGAUGAGCCAGUGGGCACGGGUAGAACAAUGAAGCAGUUAGGAGGACAGGUUCUGAUGGCAGCUCUACCUGAAUCCUGGCUCCACCCAGACUGGGCAACUUAACACGCAGAAAUUGACCUAAGUUCCCAUGCAUUGGAUUGAAUAGCAUCCUUCCCAGAACCUCAGAAUGUGACCUUAUUUAGAAAUAGGGUUGUUGCAGAUAGUAAAGAUGAGGUUAUUCUAAAGUAGGGUGGGCCCUUAGUCCAAUACGACUGAUGACCUUAUAAGAAGAGGGAAGGACACAGAGAGAGACAUACAUGGGGAAGAUGACCACAUGAAGAUGGAAGCAGAGGCUGGAGGUAACAUGUAGCUGCAAGCCAAAGAAAGCUCGGGAUGCCUGGUAACACCAGAAGUUAGGAGAAAGGCACAGAACAGAUUCUCUCCUAAAAAUGAGAGAAUACAGCCCUGCUGACACCUUGAUUUUGGACUUCUAGCCUCCAGCACUGUAGUUCCAAACUACACAGACAAAGCUUUCACCACUUACGACACAUCUCAUUUUUGAUCAAAAGACAUAUCUUCCCAGGCUGGCCACUCAACUGACAUGACACCCAGCAACUUCUGACUAUUUCCAAAUGCCAAGUCCACCCUUAAAUUACAAACAUUAGCACCACUGAGGGCAUUUUUAAAAGAUAGUUCAAUAGUUAAGCCCUAACUGGCUACUCACUGAAGCAAUGAUGAAAUUUUUACUGGUGAAUUUCCGUCUGAGGUCCACUCAGCAAUUUCUAAGAGCUAUGGGGAAACUAAGAGUGGGAGCUGAGUGCCCUAGCUGAUACAACCUUUUCUGAAACUUGGAAUUCAGUCACGUGACCUUGGUUAUGAGGAAGGCUCUGAUUCAUCCUAUUCUAUUCUUAUGAUACCCUAAUACCCUCAGCAUUUAUGGUAUGUAUAUAUGUAUGUCUGUACCUGAGUACGCACUUACAUUAUAUGUAUAUAUAUAUAUAUACACAUAUAUAUUUACUGAGUACACACAUAUAUUAUAUAACAUAUAUAAAAUAUAUAUUAUCCCUAUAAUAUACAAUACAUAAAUGUAUAUGAUUAUACACAUUACUAUACGUGUUACAUAUAAUACAUGUUAAAAUAAUAUUAUUGUAUAUUAUACACAUGUAUAAUAACACAUAUUAUGUAUUAUAUUACACAUGUAUACAUGUUACACAUACAUACAUAUGUAUAUGUAAUUGUAUAACAUUAAUGUAUCCUCAGUCACAGGUUGUUUGUUAACUGUCUUCUUAUUGUUUCUAAUGUAUAUUUUAUUCUCUUAAGCCAGUGCUAAGGUCUUCAAGGAUAGGAACGAUGUUUUCUAUUUUUUAACACAUAUGAUUAGUAUAAUAAAAGAAAAAUGAUGAAAAUUAUAAACUUGGGUUUAUCUGAAAUAGAAACUUGGGUACCUAUAAAAACAAGAAAGUCAGCUGCUCUUAGCCACAGUCCAUUCCAGGACAGUAGAGAAAUAUCUGAAACUCCUCAGUGAAGAAAAUGUGGCUCACUGAUUUAAAAAAAAUUGUAUUUUAAGAUUCACUCAAAUUGAACUUUUUGAUACACAUUUUUAUGGACUUUAAUGCAUAUAUAGAUUCAUGUGUGCACCACCACAAUGAAAAUACAGAACAAGUCCAUCACCUCCCCAAAUACUCUGUGUUGUCCCCUUUUAGUCAAACCCACCCUUUACCCCAAAUGCUGAGAACAAAUCAGUUUUCAGUCACUACAGUUUUGUCUUUAGUUCCCUGGGGCUCCCCUUUAUGGGCCUCUGGGCAAAGCAUGGAGGUUUGGAAUCAUACAAUAUGCAACCUUUUGAGACUGGCUUUUUUUUUUCACUCACACAAUUACAAUGCCUUUAAGCUUAUCCAAGUUGCUGAGUGCACCAGUGGUUUUUUAAUUACUUCUUAUUACUGAGUAGUAGUUGACUGUCUGGUUUGUGCACAGUGUAUGUGUGGGAAGACAUUCUGGAACCUUUUUGAAACAUUGAAAAUGUUGAAGUAUGUGGGCCGAGCGAUGGGAUUCAGAAUGUCCUGCUUGAGCAGUGGAGGAGCUGAGGGUGCGGGGCGUGGAGACUAAUAUCACCCUGUUUGGUCCUGAAGGAUGGCUGGUUAGCCAAAGACGGGUAAGAUUCCUCAGAGGAGGAACAACCUAAGACAGGCACAGCCACAGAGGGGCCAACAGGGGUGGUGCAUAGAACCUUCCUUAUAUCACCGUGUUUGGCCCUGGAGGAUGACUGGUUAGCCAGAGACGGGUAAGAUUCCUCAAGGGAGGAACAACCUAAGACAGGCACAGUCGCAGAGGGGCCAACACGGGUGGGGCACAGACCCUUAAUCCUUUUGAGAGAGGUCUCCUGCCCCCAGGGCUGUUUUGCUCUCCACCCCCAGCUCAAAUCCACACCUGCUCAACUCGGACCCAGGAAGUAAACAAAGAUAAUUGCCUCAGUCAUGUGAGGCCUUUGAUUGUUUAUGAGUGUAACCUGAGAAUGUUAGCCCACGAACUCAAUAAAAGCAACCUGGGAUGAGUCAGCAGGGCUCUUGAUCCGAGAGGUCUUGAGCCCCCCGGUCCCA